rnacentral:rRNA from 1 species
UACGAAGGGGGCUAGCGUUGCUCGGAAUCACUGGGCGUAAAGGGUGCGUAGGCGGGUCUUUAAGUCAGGGGUGAAAUCCUGGAGCUCAACUCCAGAACUGCCUUUGAUACUGAAGAUCUUGGAGUCCGGGAGAGGUGAGUGGAACUCCGAGUGUAGAGGUGAAAUUCGUAGAUAUUCGGAAGAACACCAGUGGCGAAGGCGGCUCACUGGCCCGGUACUGACGCUGAGGUGCGAAAGCGUGGGGAGCAAACAGG